rnacentral:tRNA from 1 species
CGGGAUGUAGCGUAGUCUGGCUUAACGCGCUUGCUUUGGGAGCAAGAGAUCGGUGGUUCAAAUCCACUCGUCCCGA